GAUGAACGCUGGCGGCGUGCCUAACACAUGCAAGUCGAACGAAGCUUGACGGAUGAUUUCUUCGGAAUGAAACCUGAUAUGACUUAGUGGCGGACGGGUGAGUAACACGUGAGCAACCUGCCUUUCAGAGGGGGAGUAACGGCUGGAAACGGUACGCUAAUACCGCAUGAUGUGUUCGGAUGGCAUCAUCUGAACAUCAAAGAUUUAUCGCUGAAAGAAUGGGCGUCGCGUCUGAUCAGAUAGUUGGUGGGGUAACGGGCCUACCAAGUACGACGAUCAGUAGCCGGACUGAGAGGUUGAACGG
rnacentral:rRNA from 1 species